UACGUAGGUGGCAAGCGUUGUCCGGAUUUAUUGGGCGUAAAGAGCUCGUAGGCGGCUCGUCGCGUCGACCGUGAAAACCCGCGGCUUAACUGCGGGCUUGCGGUUGAUACGGGCGGGCUAGAGUUCGGUAGGGGAGACUGGAAUUCCUGGUGUAGCGGUGAAAUGCGCAGAUAUCAGGAGGAACACCGAUUGCGAAGGCAGCUCGCUGGGACGUCACUGACGCUGAGACGCGAAAGCGUGGGGAGCAAACAGG
rnacentral:rRNA from 1 species